rnacentral:lncRNA from 1 species
AAAUUCUUCCUUUUGAUACAUAGAUUUAUUAUUAUUACUUUCUAUCAAAAAGGUUGCUUAAGCUUUUAUAUCAUGCUUUUGAUGCUUGUUUCAAAUCAUAUAUUGCUUUAUCAUAUUUGUAAUGAGUGUUUUCAAAUAUGGUGGUUAUUUAACAUAUAUAAAGUAAGCACAUAGGAGUCCAUUCUACACACUCAUUUGAUAAAAUAUAACGUUCAUAAAGCAAACAAAUGAUAAUGGUGAUUUUUACUUCUAAUCAUGCAAGAAUCUUAUCAAGAUCUAUUUCAUCUUUUCUUGAUUUAAUC